rnacentral:rRNA from 1 species
AGCUUAACUCUGGAACUGCCAUCAAAACUUUUUAGCUAGAGUAUGAUAGAGGAAAGCAGAAUUUCUAGUGUAGAGGUGAAAUUCGUAGAUAUUAGAAAGAAUACCAAUUGCGAAGGCAGCUUUCUGGAUCAUUACUGACGCUGAGGAACGAAAGCAUGGGUAGCGAAGAGGAUUAGAUACCCUCGUAGUCCAUGCCGUAAACGAUGUGUGUUAGACGUUGGAAAUUUAUUUUCAGUGUCGCAGCGAAAGCAUUAAACACACCGCCUGGGGAGUACGACCGCAAGGUUAAAACUCAAAUGAAUUGACGGGGACCCGCACAAGUAGUGGAGCAUGUGGUUUAAUUCGAAGAUACGCGCAGAACCUUACCAACACUUGACAUGUUCGUCGCGACUUUAAGAGAUUAAAGUUUUCGGUUCGGCCGGACGAAACACAGGUGCUGCAUGGCUGUCGUCAGCUCGUGCCGUGAGAUGUUGGGUUAAGUCCCGCAACGAGCGCAACCCUCACUUUUAGUUGCCAUCAUUAAGUUGGGCACUCUGAAAGAACUGCCAGUGAUAAGCUGGAGGAAGGUGGGGAUGACGUCAAGUCCUCAUGGCCCUUACGUGUUGGGCUACACACGUGCUACAAUGGCAUUUACAAUAGGAAGCAAGAUGGCGACGUCAAGCAAAUCCUAAAAAGAUGCCUCAGUUCGGAUUGUACUCUGCAACUCGAGUACAUGAAGCUGGAAUUACUAGUAAUCGCGGAUCAGCGCGCCGCGGUGAAUACGUUCCCGGGUCUUGUACACACCGCCCGUCACACCAUGGGAGUUGGUUCUACCUUAAGGCAAGGUUUUAAACCCUUGACCACGGUAUAGUCAGCGACUGGGGUGAAGUCGUAACAAGGUAACCGUA